UAUUUCAUUGGCAAUGUUUUAAUAUGAUUGAUCCCCUAUUUAUGAAUAUUUAGGUGGUUUCUAGUUUUUUUUUUUUUACUGAAUAAUGCAUAAUUUGUUUGCCCACUUGUCUGAUUAUCUCUUUCAAAUAAAUUCUUAGAAGCAGAAUUGUUGGAUCACAUGGUAUGCCUGUUUCAAAUUUAGGACUGUAUCGUCACACUCUUUCUCCAGAAUAUUUAUUUGAGAGUAAGAGAGAGCACAAGCAGGGGGAGCAGCAGAAGGAGAGGGGAAAGGCAGAAUCCCUGCUAAGCAGAGAGCCUGAUGUGGGGUUCGAUCCCAUGACCCUAGGAUCAUGACCUGAGCCGAAGGCAGAUACUUAACUGACUCAACCACCCAGGUACCCCUGUAUGACCACUUUUAUUAAGUUGUUAAUUUAAGUCAAAUGCACUGAUUUAAAUUCUUACAAAAUAUAGCAUUCUGUGAUUUUUAACAUCUUUUUUCUUUUGAUAUUCCUUGUAAAUCUGUGAGAUGGUAAAGGAGCCUUCAUGGAACAACUCUGAUUGUACUAAGAAAUUAAGUGGACUGCCUGAUGUUGCAAGGCAACUGAAUGAUUUAUCUGGAGCUUGAACUCAAGCCA
rnacentral:lncRNA from 1 species